CCAUCAGCCCAAAAAUUGCACACACCAUGUUUGAGCUUUGUUCAACUUUAGUGUGAAUAAAACUGCAUUAUCAUAUCAAUCAGGUUGAUUCUUUUCUCAGAGAAUAUUAUUAUUUUUUUCUAUAUUUCUCAUAUUAAUUCUCCAGCAAAUCUUCUACUCUUCUACUCUCUAAUUCCACGUUAUUUUAACCGAGGGCUAAACCCUUCAGACCAUCAAGGUGGAAUGCACAAAAACGGACCUCGAGCUUUUGUAGACGAGGGUACAAUGGAUGGGCAAGCGCUCAGCCAGUUAUCCAGCGCAAUAUCUACUAGUGUUCUUAUGGGGGCCUAGUUGAUAUGGAGCAGGUGGAUAGCUAGAGAUAUCUAUUCUUAAUGAAUUCUGAGAUUGUGAAGAUCCAGCUAGUUUUUCCGCUGCACACAAUGCAAAAUCAGCAGUAGUCUCAUUGCAGUGGUAUAUAUAUUCUUAAGCUUGUUCGGUGUGAUCUCUAUGUAUGCAUAUACGUCAAGAGAUUAGCUUAGUAUAUGUUAUAUCUAUAUCCACGGAAAUCAAUAGCUGAGUAUAGCGUGAGCUGUGUAUAUCUGUGUACAUCUUUGACACCCGUGAAUCUUCAUGCCAUUUGCAUAAACACAGUGACUUGGUGCAGAAAAUUAAAUUUGCUGAUGAAGACUAAAACGAAGUGAGAUGAUGCUAAGAAUUGAAAGUGAG
rnacentral:sRNA from 1 species